ACGCACGCUGGCGGCGUGCUUCACCCCUGCCAGUCGAACGGAAAGGCCCUGCUUGCAGGGUCCUCGAGUGGCGAACGGGUGAGUAACACGUGGGUGAUCUGCCCUGCACUUCGGGAUAAGCCUGGGAAACUGGGUCUAAUACCGGAUAGGAGCCAUUUUUAGUGUGAUGGUUGGAAAGUUUUUUCGGUGUAGGAUGAGCUCGCGGCCUAUCAGCUUGUUGGUGGGGUAAUGGCCUACCAAGGCGGCGACGGGUAGCCGGCCUGAGAGGGUGGACGGCCACAUUGGGACUGAGAUACGGCCCAGACUCCUACGGGAGGCAGCAGUGGGGAAUAUUGCACAAUGGGCGCAAGCCUGAUGCAGCGACGCCGCGUGGGGGAUGACGGCCUUCGGGUUGUAAACUCCUUUCGCUAGGGACGAAGCUUUUUGUGACGGUACCUAGAUAAGAAGCACCGGCUAACUACGUG
rnacentral:rRNA from 1 species